GAUGAAGAACGUAGCGAAAUGCGAUAAGUAGUGUGAAUUGCAGAAUUCAGUGAAUCAUCGAAUCUUUGAACGCACAUUGCGCCCGCCAGUAUUCUGGCGGGCAUGCCUGUUCGAGCGUCAUUUCAACCCUCAAGCCCUCGGGUUUGGUGUUGGGGAUCGGCGAGCCUUUCUGGCAAGCCGGCCCCGAAAUCUAGUGGCGGUCUCGCUGCAGCCUCCAUUGCGUAGUAGUAAAACCCUCGCAACUGGAACGCGGCGCGGCCAAGCCGUUAAACCCCCAACUUCUGAAUGUUGACCUCGGAUCAGGUAGGAAUACCCGCUGAACUUAAGCAUAUCAAUAAGCGGAGGA
rnacentral:misc_RNA from 1 species